rnacentral:lncRNA from 1 species
CAUAUUUUCCCAGUGUUUCUUGAUUUUCUUUUCACAUAUUCUUCAUAAUGUUAACCUUAUAAGGCAUAUAAAUAUUUCUAGUCUGAGUUUAAACAAGAAAAAUGUGAAGUUAAUUGUCUACAGUUAAUAAGUAUAUAAAUAAGCUUUUACUAAGUGGUUUGUUCACCAAUUCCACAUCUAUUUAUUGUAUGCUUAUUGUAUACAAGGCGUUGGGCUAGGCCCCGGGGGUUCUAGGGUGAGCUAAGCAGGAAAGACCUGGUUCCUGCUUUCCCAAAGCUUUUGUUCUGAUGUUAGACAGAUAUUGAAAAUUGUUUAUGUAAGAAAUUAUUAAAUUACAAUUUACAUGGAAAUGAUACACAAAGAAGGAGUCUACAAUGCUAUGAAAGUGUCUUACAGUAGGACCUGAGCUAGUCUUGGGGGCCAAGGAAAGCCUCUUUGCUAGUUCCCUCCCCAAUAAUCAUUCUUCCCUUUUUUGUUACAAAAAGAACCCCGAUUUUGUUUGGAUCCGCAAAGUGUCCAACCUUAAAAACUCCAUUUUUGUACUUCCCUUGCUACUAGGAAUGUCCACCUGACAUAGCCUUAACCCAUGAGAUGGUGGAGGUGGCCUGGUAUGUGACUGUUACUUUCCUGGUAUAGGCACCACUUCUUCAUCCUGCCCAAUAGGGGUGUCCAUGGAGUGCCAUGAGGAUUGAAGUCACGUGCUAAAGAUGGUAGAGUCAAAAGAUAAAAAGGGCCCGGGGUGUUGAUGAUAUCUCGGACCUGCUGCACCGGCCCUGGGUUUCCUGACUUCUUGUUAGGUGCUAACCACAAGCCCCUAUUUGAUUAAACCAUAGGAGAUGAGUUUCUACUACACACAGUUGAACCAAUUCCUAAUUAAUACAGCUUAAUUGAGGAUGUGACAUCUGAACUGGGCUUUGAAGCGUAUGAGGAGCAACUAACUGGGAAAAAGAGGCCAAGGAAAGAACACUUCCCAAGUGCUCUGCUCAGAACUAGGGCUUUGGGUAUCAGGGGUUCGUCACUGAGUUUAAGAGUGUUGGACUAAGACCUCUGAAAUACCUCUGAAAUUGGCCUUGGGGAUGACCCCCUGCAGGAGAAAAGUCUAAUCAUAACAGUACCCGUAGUUGUAAUAGCUGGCACGUGCCCUUUGCCGGGCACUUUUCUAGGGGAUUUACAUGUGUUACCUCAUUCAGGCCUUAUGACAGCCCUCUGAGGAAGGUGCUGUCGCUGUCCCCACUUUACAGUUGGGGAAACCGAAGCAAAGAGAGAUCAAGCCACUUGCCCAAGAUUGCUGGCAAGUAGGUGGAGGAGCCGGGAUUUGAACUCAGAUAGUGUGACUUGAGAGCCUGCACUCGCUAGUUCAUAACUGGCAGAGCUUGACCCAAACCUUGAACUCAUUCCUGGCUCCUUCCCUUUGAUAACAAAGAGGAUUCCCGAGGUGUGUGCACAAACGAAAUGUGGACUGUCGUUACCAGCGAGCGCACUUCUGGAGUCUCUCCCUCAAUGGCCAAUCAGCCAAUCAGGCAGUGGUUUUGGAAUACCUUCAUGUUGGUCCUGUCCUUUUCUUUUCUUUUUGAGAUCCCUAAUGAAAGAAUUGUUCCCUCACCUUAUGAGACAGAGGUUCUUGCUGUACAUUUUUGUACUCUGCCCCAAAUUCUACUGAUUUGUUCCAAAUUAUGAUAGAAAGAAUUAUCCCAAAUACAUGCAGGGCUUAUUCCAGCCUCUCGACUCUUCCUUUGUCCUCUACAGCUCCUUCUGGGAUGUCCCUGGAACAGUUAGAACCCUGCCCCCUUAGAUCCAGCUCCAGAUGACUCAGCAAGUAGUCCACAGAUUACUAGUCAAAACUAGUUCAGAAACAGUUACUGGUCUGUGACAAGAUGAGUAGGGAAAUUGAGAGUAAGCAUGAAGAGACUUUUUGGCGAUUAAGCAUUACUCCAACAUCCAAGCGUGUGGUCUGUGAGUUAGUCUUGUUGAUGGAACGUGGAUCUCUCUGGAUGCUGUCGAACUCACGUGAUGGGUUGGAUGUAGCAUGAGCUGUGCUACAGUCACGGGCAAUAGGACCACUUGUUGGUUCGCUAUGGAAAUUGAAAGGUCGUUUGAGAAUCACUGCUCUAACCCAUACCGGGUUUUCCCACCUGUGACUCGCCAUGAAAGGAAAGAAACGAAUGUAGAAGUCAGAAAAGAUGAAGAAUGUGUGAGAUCGAGGACUCACGGAGGAGAGACCUUCCAGAAGGGAGUCAACAGUAUCAGCUGCCUCCGAAAGACCCAACCAACAGGAUGAAGACCAAGAUGAGGAAAGAGGAGAGCCACUGACGCCCUCACAUUUCUUCUGGAAAACGUUUAUUUGUUAUUUAUCUCCAGCCACCUUCCUGUCUCAGUCCAGACCCACAUUUUCCAUCGCGUCUUCCUGGAUGUCAUUACCUGGCAAUUCUGUGGGUAGUUCCAACUCGGCAUACCCCAAACAGAACCGCCUCCUCCCUCCACCCCUUCACUUCAGCCCCCAAACAGUCAGACAGGCAGACACCAAACUCAUUCACCUGUGUUCUCCAUCUUCUUUGGCUACACCAACAUCCACUCAAACUGAGUGUCCGUCUAGAUUCUUCCUUCUCUCUCCUUAUGCACAUUUAAAUGAUCCUUUAAACAUCCCUUUGACUAGGCUCUCCUCACUAAGCUGGAGUUUACGGCCUUAGUCAGGCCCUCCCCACCCCUUAUCUAGAACAACUCACCAGCGCCUCACCUGUUGUCCUCCUCUCCUUUAACCCUUCCGCCACACCGGCACUGACUGUAAACGCCCCGGACCAUCUGACUCACAUAUAACACUCUGCUCCCAUUCUCUCCAGAAUAAAGUCUAACUUCUUUAAAAUAUUGCAAAUAACGAAGCAAUAAGCAUCUUGUGCACACAACUGGUUUUUUUCAUUCAAAGUAUUUCCUUGGGAGAAGUUCCGAGGGUUGGACGGCCUGGGGUAUCAUUAUGUAUGAACACUCUGACACUUCUGAAACUGAGCGCUAAUGCAACCCCCCCCCACACACACGCACACACACACAUUCUCCUCCAGCAUACAUGGUCUUAGGGUUUGUAGGAAACAAAUCUUAAUUUUUGUUCCCUGACUGCCUGUAAUUUUUUUCUCUUUUAAAUCAGGUCCAAG